rnacentral:tRNA from 1 species
AUUACUUUGGCAGAGUGUAUGCAUUAGAUUUAGGGUCUGAAAAAAUAGAGAGGGGUCUAUAAGUAAUA